rnacentral:rRNA from 1 species
CAGGAAAACGGACUAAAGCCGCAAGGCUGAGGUCAGUGGCGAACGGCUGAGUAACACGUAGGUGACCUGCCCAGAAGUGGGGGACAACACCUCGAAAGAGGUGCUAGUACCGCAUGUGAUCACCAGUUCAUUCGGGUGAUCAAAGGCGCAAGCCGCUUCUGGAGGGGCCUGCGGCGGAUCAGCUAGUUGGUGGGGUAACGGCUCACCAAGGCUACGAUCCGUAGCUGGUCUGAGAGGAUGGCCAGCCAGACUGGGACUGAGACACGGCCCAGACUCCUACGGGAGGCAGCAGUUAGGGAUCUUGUGCGAUGGGGGAAACCCUGACACAGCAACGCCGCGUGAGGGAUGAAGGCCUUCGGGUCGUAAACCUCUUUUCUGAGGGAAGAAACCUGACGGUACCUCAGGAAUAAGCAACGGCUAACUACGUGCCAGCAGCCGCGGUAAUACGUAGGUUGCGAGCGUUGUCCGGAAUCACUGGGCGUAAAGCGCACGCAGGCGGCCUCGAAAGCCCAUGGUGAAAGCCCUCGGCCCAACCGAGGGAUGCCCAUGGGAACUCCGGGGCUCAGAAGACGGGAGAGGCGGAUGGAAUUUCCGGUGUAGCGGUAAAAUGCGUAGAUACCGGAAGGAACACCAGUGGCGAAAGCGAUCCGCUGGCCCGCUCUUGACGCUCAGGUGCGAAAGCUAGGGUAGCGACCGGGAUUAGAUACCCCGUUAGUCCUAGCCGUAAACGAUGGGCACUAGGUGUUGUCGGUAUCGACCCCGGCAGUGCCGAAGCUAACGCAUUAAGUGCCCCGCCUGGGGAGUACGGCCGCAAGGCUAAAACUCAAAUGAAUUGACGGGG